rnacentral:rRNA from 1 species
CAUUCACGGAGAGUUUGAUCCUGGCUCAGGACGAACGCUGGCGGCGUGCUUAACACAUGCAAGUCGAACGAUGAACCACUUCGGUGGGGAUUAGUGGCGAACGGGUGAGUAACACGUGGGCAAUCUGCCCUGCACUCUGGGACAAGCCCUGGAAACGGGGUCUAAUACCGGAUACUGAUCCUCGCAGGCAUCUGCGAGGUUCGAAAGCUCCGGCGGUGCAGGAUGAGCCCGCGGCCUAUCAGCUAGUUGGUGAGGUAACGGCUCACCAAGGCGACGACGGGUAGCCGGCCUGAGAGGGCGACCGGCCACACUGGGACUGAGACACGGCCCAGACUCCUACGGGAGGCAGCAGUGGGGAAUAUUGCACAAUGGGCGAAAGCCUGAUGCAGCGACGCCGCGUGAGGGAUGACGGCCUUCGGGUUGUAAACCUCU